CCGGCAACCGGCCUCCACUCGGUCGGGGUCCAGCCCGGAGGACAGGAAGGGCGGACCCCCGAUUCUGACACUCUGCACUCGGAGCCUAGAAGCAGGACGAGACGCCAUUUUAAAGUUCAUCCAUGUUUUAUUGAGCGUGAGGUGGCAUGGCGGCCACCAGGUUAGGGGUGGUAAGGCGAUACGUUCCCAAAAGCGGGCGGACGUCCACGGUACCGCCGGUGGAGGAGCGUAACAGUGUGUGAAGGACCUGCAGUGGCAACGCUUUCUGAUUGGAUGACAGGAUCACUGCCGCGAUGCCUAAUCAUAAUUGACACAUCAAAUGGAAAGUUAUGUUUGCAUCUUUUUGGGGAUCUCGCUGAAAUCUGUGGCGACCACUCGUCCUUGCAGCUCCCUGUGAGAACCCCGAACGCUGCCGUCCAUCAGAUAAACCUUCGCCAUGCCGCCGUCAUCUGCAAAGUGCUGCCAGGGUGAGGCUUCAGUAACUUGCGGAGGUUCCAGGGGGCGCUCUGAGCAAAGAUGAAAGAGUCCUCCUCCACGUAUUGGACAUGAGGGAGCUUCAGCACCUGAAGG